GGCUGCCGGAGAUGGAAUCAAUGGCGUCGGCGAUCGGAGUAUCAGUGCCGGUGCUCCGUUUCCUGCUUUGUUUCGUCGCCACCAUUCCGGUGAGCUUCCUCCACCGUUUUGUCCCUAGCGCCGUUGGUAGACACCUCUACGCCGCCGUUACCGGCGCUGUUCUCUCGUACCUGUCAUUUGGUUUCUCCUCAAAUCUUCACUUCUUUGGGCCUAUGCUUCUGGGUUAUGUUUCUAUGGUUGUCUCUCGCCGUUACUGCGGGAUUGCUUUGUUUUGUCGCCACAAUUCCGGUGAGCUUCCUCCACCGUUUUGUCCCUAGCGCCGUCGGUAGACACCUCUACGCCGCCGUUACCGGCGCUGUUCUCUCGUACCUGUCAUUUGGUUUCUCCUCAAAUCUUCACUUCUUUGGGCCUAUGCUUCUGGGUUAUGUUUCUAUGGUUGUCUCUCGCCGUUACUGCGGGAUCAUCACUUUCUUCGCCGCGUUUGGAUACCUUAUUGGAUGGUACAUUACAUUCCCAAUCAUAAAGCUCUUUCUUUUUACUCCCUUCGUUCCUAAUUUAUUUUGUUUGAUUGGUCAUGAAGUUUAAGUAAAAAGGAAAGAAUUUAGAAACUUGUAUUCUAAAACAAGUCAUAAACAUUAAUGUAGUUAUAAAUGGUAUAAUUAGAAGUUUGAAGUUAAUUGUUUUCUGAAUAUAGAAAUAUGUUUUUUAUUUUCUGGACAGACUAAAAAGAAAAGAGUAUCAAAUAUAAUAGAUCAAUUUUAUUAUAACUAUUAUUAUUAUUAUUGUUAUUAUUAUUAUUUUGUGUUUGCUAUAAACUCCUACCAUAGUCAUGGCUGAAUGGUUAAGGUGUGGGGAGUAACCACUCGACCACCCGGAAUUCCCACCAUAUUUGGGCCGUUUGGUUCACAUAGUACUAGUAAUACUUGUUAAUACAAAGACCAAGGUGUCAGUUAUUCCAUGUCGUAUUCAGUAUAAUACUUAGAUUUAAGGUAUAAGUUAUGCUCGAAUGAAUAUGCCAACCAAACACAGGAUAAAUAAUACGGUAUGGAUUUUGUAUUGGAUAAAUUUUUCUUAAUCCCUUCAACUGGACGGCCCUUUAGUACGAGUCCAUCUGUACUAAACUUGGUAGAGACAGUGGACUGAUUUUUCCAGCAACUGUGUUUGUAGGUUGUAAUUGGGUGGUCAAUUAGUCCAGGUGAACAUACAAUUAUUAAUAGGAAAGCAAAGAUCCUACUAUGUUGGAGUUGGUUUCAUUGGUUGGUAAACUUUGAAACAGUCGGAUUUAAAAUCUGGAAAGCUGCCCCCCAAUCUUUUGCAUUUAAAAAAAAAACUCUGAUGGAAGCUUCUAAAUUUCCGUUAAGAUAUUUGAAAGUUAUUUGGUACAACUUGCAGCCAUGUAUACUACAUGAGUGGAGACGCAUGGAAGGAAGGAGGAAUUGAUGCUACAGGUAAGCACGAGCUGGAUCUUUGUCCUUGCCUCGUUUCUAUUGAAUGUAAUAAUAUAUAUGAAUCAUGCUCUUGACCCCAUUUCAUUGAUGUGUUACAUACAUAUGUUUUGAUACAACCCAGCAAAUGCAUUCUGACUCAGCUGGAAAUUUACUUAUUAAGAGAACCUAAGUAGUUUUAUGGGUCAAUUACUACACCUGCCCUCCAGUAUUUAGAAAUAAAGUCGACCUUUCAUGAAGCAUAUGAAUACCUCUCAUAUCAAAUGUUCGAUUUGGACUAUGUCAAAAUUUCCAAGCUUGACGAGAAUGUUCUUCCUUCAAUGAGAGGGAGACCAAUUGGAAACAAAAUUGCAUGUUCUUAAAAACUAAACAAAAUCACAGAGAAGGAAGUAGGUUCAGCUAUACAGUGAUUGAGGUGGAACUGCUGCCACCAUAAUUGGACGAAACAAGGUCUAUUUAUCAUUAGUUAAAUAUGACAGGCUUAUCUAAAACAUUUUGAUGGGUUAGAUUUACCUAGGGGUGGCUAAAUGAUUCAAAGAAAACUGAUGACCACCCAUAUUAUCCACUAAAAAAUGAGUUGGAUAAUGAACUUUUUAAAAACGGAUCAAAUAUGGAUAAGAACCAUAUUAUCUAUUUAGAAAAUGGAUAACCAAUGGGUCUAACUUUUACGUUUGUAAAGCCUUAAAUUGGAGGUUCCUCAAGUUAGAAGGACCAAAAAUUCUCCCAAAAGUGAUCAUAUACAAAAAGUCAUUGAUAAUAUCGGUAACUCAUAUUAUCCGCCGGUUAACCCGUUUUUUAACCAUAUUAAAUAUGAGUGGGGUCGCAAAAUUGAUCCAUUUUUUCAUUACCCGUUUGCGACCCGAACCAUAUCCGACCCGACCCGACCCUUUACACUCCUAGAUUUACCCAUAUGUAAGUAUCUGGAUACCUACCUCUCUCUCUCCUUUUAAUUCUCUUGUUAUUGUGUUUAGGAAAUGGAAUUAUUUCAGCAAGUAAGGUUGCAAAAUAAAAUCUCUGAUAGUUUCUGGGACAUCAUUGUCCCUCGAAAGGUUUUUGGAGGGUGAUGUCAGAGGAGGUUUGAUAAUGACAUUUUUAGCUAGAGAGGAGGUCCAACAUUUUUUUUUAAAUAGAGGGAGGUCCACUUAGUGUCACUAAACUAGAGGGGCGGUCUAAGUAAUUUACCUGGAGUCUCCUUCUUCAAUGAGGUAAGGAGUUAGGUUGGUUUCCAUCAGUAAGAUCUCCUGACUCUAAAAUUCAAAACAAUCAAUGACUGUCAUUUAGUGGCAAGAUGAUAGACACAAAUUAGGAUUGGCAGUGAGCUGAUUUAUUUCAUAUUGGAUGAAAAUAUUAGACCAUCCCAGGAGAAAUGGCCGUUUUGUUAUAUUAUUACAUUUCUGGAUGGUGUAUUCUUAUAGUGUUCACAUUUAGAGGCGGAUGUAGCGAACAACUAAUGGGUUCAACUGAACCCAUAACUUUCGAUGCGAUGUAAAAAUUACGUGUAAAAAUUCAUUAAAAUUGCAAAAAUAGUGGAUAUGAACCAAUAACUUUAAAAAUAUAAUGGGUUCACCGCUAAAAACCUUAAAAGUCGAACCUAUAGGACUUAAAUUCUGGAUCCGCCUCUGUUCACAUUGCUCUUAUUGGUAGACUACUCACAAUUAGGAACUUCACAUCUCGUGUUUCUAGACUUUUUAGCUAAUCCAAAAUGAUGAUGUUAUUUUCUCCAAAUUUUCAGGAGCUCUAAUGGUCAUAACGCUGAAAAUAAUUUCAUGUGUGAUUAAUUACCAAGAUGGAUUGUUGAAGGAGGAAGAUUUGCGUGAGGCUCAGAAGAAAAAUCGUCUGCUCAAAUUGCCAUCGU
rnacentral:lncRNA from 1 species